CCCUUAGAUGUUCUGGGCCGCACGCAUGCUACACUGAGUGGAUCAGCGGGUCAGGUUGCGCGAAAGUGUUUCCUAAUCUUUAAAUCCGCUCGUGAUGGGGAUUGACGGUUGCAAUUUUCCGUCAUGAACGAGGAAUACCUUGUAAGCGCGGGUCAUCAUCCCGCGCUGAAUACGUCCCUGCCCUUUGUACACACCGCCCGUCGCUCCUACCGAUUGAGUGGUCCGGUGAGGCUUUGGGAUCUGAGCGGAAAGAGCGUUUCGCUGUUUCUGCCCGGAAAACUCAGUCGAACCUUAUCAUUUAGAGGAAGGAGAAGUCGUAACA
rnacentral:rRNA from 1 species